AAAAUACGAACUACAGUUUAAAACUUAAAGAUUUUCGGCGGUGCCUUAACAAACCAGGGGAACCUGUCUCAUAACUCGAUAAUCCACGACAACCUUACCCCAUCUAGAUAAAUCAGCUUGUGUACUGCCGUCGUAAGCACACCUCUAAAAGCAAGGUAGUAUGCAAUUAUGACUAACCUCAUUUACGUCAGGUCAAAGUGCAGCUAAUGAUGGGGGGAUGAUGGGUUACACCCUAAAUAAAGAUACGAAAUAUGGAGUCAAAAACCUUAUAAAGGUGGACUUGGAUGUAACUAUAAUCCAAAAUUAUAGUGAAAUUGAAUCUAAGGCAUGCACACAUCGCCCGUCACUCUCGCCCAAAGGCG
rnacentral:rRNA from 1 species